rnacentral:rRNA from 1 species
AUUGAACGCUGGCGGCAGGCCUAACACAUGCAAGUCGAACGAGUGGCGGAAGGGUGAGUAAUGUCUGGGAAACUGCCUGAUGGAGGGGGAUAACUACCGGAAACGGUAGCUAAUACCGCAUAACCUCGGAAUUGCUCAGAUGGGAUUAGCUAGUAGGGGGGGGAAAGGCUCACCUAGGCGACGAUCCCUAGCUGGUCUGAGAGGAUGACCAGCCACACUGGAACUGAGACACGGUCCAGAAUCCUACGGGAGGCAGCGGUGGGGAAUAUUGCACAUUGGGCGCAAGACUGAUACAGCCAUGCCGCGUGUAUGAAGAAGGCCGUCGGGUUGUAAAGUACUUUCAGCGGGGAGGCGUUACCCGCAGAAGAAGCACCGGCUAACUCCGUGCCAGCAGCCGCGGUAAUUC